rfam:Capsicum annuum cultivar Zunla-1 unplaced genomic scaffold scaffold846, whole genome shotgun sequence
UGAUAAUGGUGAGGACAAUUACUUAUCCUACUUUUGAAUCUCUCCCAAUCUUGGUAGAGAUUCACUCUUUCUUUCUAUCUAAAACUCAAAAUCUCUCUUCUCAAAUG